GAAAAAUAAAGUUGCUCCUGCAAGAGUAUGAAGCAGAUACAGUCUACAUUAUGUCAGUAUCACUGUGUCUGAGGGCAAGGAGCCAGGGAUUGACAUAUACCACUGGGUGAUAGAAAUGAGCACCGGCACCAAGUAUCAGAGGAGCCAGACACCACAAUAGGGCAGAGAGACCACAAACACAGCCGCUGGCAAGAGCUGGACCCAGCGCAUUCAACAGGGUGUGGAGCGCUGUUGCUGGGCUACAGCAUGCAACCGCACUGAGGGAGCCGCAGCUGGGGGCCAGGACCGGCACUUCCGGGGGAGACUGUACUGUAGUGGGAAGCUGCGGCCCGCGGUAGCGGGAGCCUGGUGACAGGAGAAGCCACAGCAGGAGGGACUCGCUAACGGCGGCAGGCAGCAGGUCAAAUCGAGGUUGCGGCUCUUAGCAGUCUGCCAGGUUGGAGCUUCGUGAGUGCUCUGGUGUGCAAUGGUGCUGCAUCACUAUGGUGAUGGCAAACAUUGGAGGCUCAGUCAGAUCCUUGCACCAGGCGCGAUGAUGUUAUUGUCAAGCCACCGCCGACCGAUUGAGUGGUCGUGGGCCAGACAGCGGACACACGUGGUGGUUGUGAUUCUUAUAAAGAAGAGCUUACAUUCUGACUGUCAGUGACAUCCAGAAUUACUGUCUGUACUCUGCUGGAAGUAUCCUUCCUCAGUUCCUCAGCCCCUCUAUCCGUCAGACAGGCAGCCAGAACCCUCAUUCCGCGUCUGUCCAGAUUCCUUGCCAGCAGGUUCCCAAAACCUGAAUCACAUCCGGUGAUGAAGACAUAUUUAUCCGAGAGGCUCUCCAGUAUCUGACUCUGUCUGUACCAUCUGUACAGGAGGAUGAGGACCAACACCACCAGCACAGGGAACCACAUGAUGAAGAUUCCUACAUUAAUACAAAUAAAGAUGAGUUUUAUCUCCGUUUACA